CCUCCGUCACUGGCUUCCGUGUGUCCUUGCUUAGGUCACAACGGAAAACGCCCAUGGCAACCGGCGAGAGUGUGUUUGAGCAACAAGGUAACUCCUGCUGCCCCAGCCUCCCGCCCUCUGAGCCACGAGAGCUCCGGCGGGCUGAGCCCCAUCCCUUCCUCUCCUCUCCCAGCCCAGGAGCACUGGCGCAGACAUUGCUUUGGUGCCGGCUCCUCUUCCCCUUCCUCUGCGAGGCAGUGUGAGAAGAGGGGAACUUGAUCUUUAGGGCCAAGUCCUGCCAGGUUGGGUGGCGUUCAGUAGCCACAUUUGAUAGACCAGGACGCUGCACCCCUGCGAGUUGGGAUUUCAGGCCGUGCUGGGUUGGGAACCCUGGCGCCGCCCCUCGGCCCCAAGGCCUCCCUCGUUCACCGUGGGUUUUCCUCUUCAAAUGCCUACUGAAGCAAAGUUGUGCUGAUUUCCGCCUCUGUUAAGAGGGAUCACAACAACAUGGAGGAAAGUGCAAAAAAACAAAAAAGUCUUUUCAAUAUUAAAGCCACAUCCACCCAGCUCAGCAGAGGCAGCAGGCCCUCGAGGGGAGGGUAACUUUGACUAUCUCUUAUUAGACGCCAGACAUUCAGAGCUGUAGAACUAGAUGGUGCUGGGUGGAAACUGUUAAAAUUUAAAUGUUUGGGGGAGACGCAAAUCAUUCAGGGAGAAAAAAUAACCCCAAAGUUUACAGUUUUGCUGCCCGGGUUUGCAGUUUUACUUCAGCAUUCCUGUUUGCUAGGGCAGGCGCCACGUGUGUGUUCUCGUUUCCUCUUUGAACGAGGCUCGUCACCCCGCCAGCCACCUGUCAGCUGGAAACGCACCUUCGGAGCACCGCGGCGGCAUCCCUGGACGUCAGGGGACCUAGGGACACAUGUCCCCACCUUUGCAGUUUUCCAUGACUGCCAGGUAGACGAAGUCUAGACUUAGGCUCCAUGUAGUGCUUGAGAAGUCAGUGUCUUCCUGUCUCACUUUCUCACGGCCACCCCCACCCACAUGACACUGUCACCAAUGACCCUGGGCCGAGCACAGAGACACGACCAGCAAGGAAGGCUGGAGAAGGCAGCUGCGGCUCUGUGUGCCAGCUAAAUAGCACCGCUCAUUGCUAAGGAAGCAGGGCGGAAUGGAUUCUGGGGACACAACGGGUCUCUGCCAUAAGAGGUCACCCUAUGUGCCGGAGCAAAUCCACAGAAUAACCUUGAUGUUGGUGUUGCCAAUGAAGCCUGCUGGGGAAAGGAAUAAUAAUUCCAGAUGCAUCAGUAAAGACGCCGUCCUGCUGCAAGAGCUAAGGGAGUGGCUUGGGACCCCCAGGGAAAAGCUGCCCCAUCAGGAUCGUCCCGACCUCGGAGUUCACCAUCCUUGGGGCCAGGGCCAUGGUCCUGUCUCCAUGCCUGUGGAACGGCUGGGCUGGCACUAGGAGCAGGCCUGAGGACAAGCUCAGGAGACUCCCGGGGUGCCAGGGACCAGAAACCACUCCUGCCUCAAAGCCCUGGGGAGUGUUUCCUGCAGAAUCACAUCUUGACUCUUUCCUUCACGGGUCAGCAGAAGCCUGAGGAGCACAAGAGACUCCAAUUUCCCAAAGGAGAGGCAGGGAAAGAGCCCAGGCAGAGAGUCCCCAGUCCUAGGUGAGCCGCCGGUUCUCCUCACCCUGUCCUGUUUCAGCAGUGCAGCUCCAGUGGAGCAGGGCCGAAGAGCCGGCGUGACAGAGGGCCGGGGCUGUCUGCCUGCCGCUGGAUCUGCCCCCAGAGACUCCCUGAGAGCCUCCCGGUCUGUGCCUCACCUGACUGAGCAGGCUGCAGUCACAGGAGCUGAGAAACCCAAACAGAAUGGGACAUCAAAUCACCAUGGGGUCACUUUUGGUUGUAGGUGUUACCUGUCAGAAUUGCAUCUGCACACAUGGGGUGCACUCUGAGUGGAGGGGAGGAGAGGAGUACAGAUACAGCCUGUGCAAAAGAAGCCAAGGGGAGGAGCUGUUGGUACAGAGAGGAGGGGCCCUGUCCACUGGGCAGCGGGCCAUCCCAGGGGACCUGCAGCAGGGAGACCCAGAAGUCCUCUGUCUGAGGCUGAAUCUAAAACCGGAAGUCCAAGACUCUGGUUUGUGUGAAACUCUGCUAUAGUUUGGAUGUGGGUGUCCUGCAAAGGACCCGGGUCAAAGGCAUGGCUGCCAGCCUCUGGAGCUCCUGGGUGGGGGGAACUUUAGGAUGUGCCGCUGCGUGGAAGGAAGCCUGGUUGCUGGGGCUGUGUCCUUGAAAGGAUGCUAGGACCAUGGCCCCUUCCUUUCCCCCUUUUGCUUUGAGGUGAGCAGCUUUUCUUUGCCGUGGGUUCCCGCCAUGGUGUGCAGUGCUGUCACAGGCCCAAAACCACAGGGCCCGGUGACCACAGACUGCAACCUUUGAAACCGUGAGCCUUAAUAAAUCCUUACAGCAACAGAAA